ACUGUAGAGCACUACCUCUCUGCUUCGCGUUCGAGGUGUGCAAAAGUGAGUACGCGUAAUAUAUAAACAGCCGCAAUUGAGGCUCUAACUCACUACUACUGAAUUUUGUAAAGAAAAAACACGUAAGCAUAUAAAUUACGCGGGUCCGGGAUAGAAAAUAUUACUUGAGUUGAAACUCUGGUGUGAAUUCAUUUUUUUGAAAUAAAUUAGUCAGCAAUCGACAGUUAUCAAGAUGUAUAACAAAUAUCAAAUAUUCAAGUUAAUACUGUUGUAUUUUGUUGUGAAAAUCGCGAUCGUUGCAGCUAUAGAAUCGCACAAGGGAAUAUGGGAAGAUCUUGAUGUGAAUUCUACAGAAGCUAUGGACGCGGCACUAAUGGGAUUGCAAAGAUAUUCAAAUAAAUAUUAUAAAGGUGAGCACAAGCUGACUGUCGUUGAAAUUAAUGAAGCUAAAUAUCAAAUUGUCGGGGGAACUAAGUAUCAGAUUGUAGCUACACUUGGAGAGACCAAGUGUCCGAAAGGAAGCAAGUCUCGAAAAUGUAAAUUGCUUAAAGACGCUGAACUUCUUAACUGUUAUUUUGAGUUUCUCGAUAAUCCUUGGAAGAAACAAACAAUCUACUAUGAUAUUCAAUGUAACACAGAUCCAAAAAAAUAGACAAGCUUCAUAAAAUGAAAAUGAAAGAAAAGUGGGUACGCGUAAUACAUAAACAGCCGCAAUUAAGGCUUCGUAUCACUACUACUCAAUUCUGUAAAAAAAAAACAAGUAAGCAUAUAAAUUACGCGGGUCCGGGAUAGAAAAUAUUACUUGAGUUGAAACUCCGGUGUGAAUUUAUUUGUUUGAAAUAAAUUAGUCAGCAAUCGACAGUUAUCAAGAUGUAUAACAAAUAUCAAAUAUUCAAGUUAAUAUUGUUGUAUUUUGUUGUGAAAAUCGCGAUCGUUGCAGCUAUAGAAUCGCACAAGGGAAAAUGGGAAGAUCUUGAUGUGAAUUCUACAGAAGCUAAAGACGCGGCACUAAAAGGAUUGCAAAGAUAUUCAAAUAAAUAUUAUAAAGGUGAGCACAAGCUGACUGUCGUUGAAAUUAAUGAAGCUAAAUAUCAAAUUGUCGGGGGAACUAAGUAUCAGAUUGUAGCUACACUUGGAGAGACCAAGUGUCCUAAAGAAAGCAACUCUCGAAAAUGUAAAUUACUUGAAGACGCUGAACUUCUUUACUGUUAUUUCGAGUUUAUCGAUAAACCUUGGAAGAAACAAACAAUCUACUAUGAUAUUCAAUGUAACACAGAUCCAAAAAAAUAGACAAGCUUCAUAAAAUGAAAAUGGUAAUUUACGAUUUUGUUCAUGCCCAUCAGUGAAAUUAUUAUUUCUGGCCAAAAGGUUUCUACAAUGAGACAUUUAAUGAGUUGAAAAACAGCACUACUAAUAAUUUCACUGUCUUAGCAUCGCAAACUCGUAAUGAUGUGACCUCUUGCAUAUCUAUUGAUUGUUAAAUAUCCAUGAAUAAAUAUGAAAUAUAUAUUAUCUUGUAUUAAUAAA